UAGUUUGUCAUGAUGGUUUCCAGAAGUUUGGUGGACUCUCCUAAGGCCAACUCCAUGAAGGUACCACCUGCAGCAGAAUCUAGAAGAUUUCUAGACACAAAAUUUAGUCCAACAUAGAAUUUUUGAAUAAUCAUCCACAAGUUUAAAGCGUGAGUAGUUUCCCUAAUCAUUGUUUUCAUCCUCUCCCAAGCUUGUGGAAAAUGUUCUUGGUCAUGUUGUUUAAAAUUGAUAAUUUGAUUUCUAAGGAAG
rnacentral:lncRNA from 1 species